CCUACGGGCGGCAGCAGUGGGGAAUAUUGGACAAUGGGGGGAACCCUGAUCCAGCGACGCCGCGUGAGUGAAGAAGUAUUUCGGUAUGUAAAGCUCUAUCAGCAGGGAAGAAAGAAAUGACGGUACCUGACUAAGAAGCCCCGGCUAACUACGUGCCAGCAGCCGCGGUAAUACGUAGGGGGCAAGCGUUAUCCGGAUUUACUGGGUGUAAAGGGAGCGUAGACGGCAGGGCAAGUCUGAUGUGAAAGUCCGGGGUUCAACCCCGGGACUGCAUUGGAAACUGUCCGGCUAGAGUGCAGGAGAGGUAAGUGGAAUUCCUAGUGGAGCGGUUAAAUGCGUAGAUAUUAGGAGGAACACCAGUGGCGAAGGCGGCUUACUGGACUGUAACUGACGUUGAGGCUCGAAAGCGUGGGGAGCAAACAGGAUUAGAUACCCUAGUAGUC
rnacentral:rRNA from 1 species